UACGAAGGUGGCAAGCGUUGUUCGGAUUUACUGGGCGUAAAGGGAGCGUAGGUGGUUAGGUAAGCCCUCCGGGAAAUCUUCAGGCUUAACCUGAAAAGGUCGGGGGGGACUGCCUGGCUAGAGGACGGGAGAGGAGCGCGGAAUUCCCGGUGUAGCGGUGAAAUGCGUAGAGAUCGGGAGGAAGGCCGGUGGCGAAGGCGGCAUCCUGGACCGGUAUUGACGCUGAGGAGCGAAAGCCAGGGGAGCAAACGGG
rnacentral:rRNA from 1 species